GCCACCUAGCCAGAAUGACGGAUAUGACUCUCAGCUUCUAACCGAGUGGGUUCGGGUUCGAAUCCCGAGUAAGGCA